UACGUAGGGGGGCAAGCGUUGUCCGGAUUUAUUGGGCGUAAAGAGCGUGUAGGCGGCCAGACAGGUCCGUUGUGAAAACUCGAGGCUCAACCUCGAGAUGUCGAUGGAAACCGUCUGGCUAGAGUCCGGAAGAGGAGUGUGGAAUUCCUGGGUGUAGCGGUGAAAUGCGCAGAUAUCAGGAAGAACACCUAUGGCGAAGGCAGCACUCUGGGACGGUACUGACGCUGAGACGCGAAAGCGUGGGAGCGAACGAUAGAUACCGUGUAGAU
rnacentral:rRNA from 1 species